CAACAAAAGAUCUCAUAGCGGCAGGAGCCCGAUUGCUAACGAAGACAUACUUCUCGUCUUUCUCGUUCUUCUUAGGAAGUAGGUUUCAAGUUUCCUCAAUCGUUCGUUGAAUCUACAUGGAUGCGCUUGACUCCGCGUGAAACCGUCGUUGAGUAUGUGUGUAUGGAGAAGCCAUAACAACUGAAGAUUAAUUUGAAUCUGUGAGCCGAACAGCCGAAGCAACAAAACAGAUAAGCUCUUUUUUUUUUUUCUUGAUCCUUUUAAUAAGAUUUUCAAAGGUUUUUAUCCAAUCCAAGAGAUGAGCCUUUUUGCUUUGGUUUUUAUCAAAACAGAGAAGCUUUGUUUUGGUUUUUCAUCAAACCCCAAAAAGGAUCAUAGGCAGAGACUAAUCUAAUAGCUGACAGAUUCUUAUUUGGGGACAUUGUCCCGUUGCUGAAGCCUAGACCCAUAGAAAUUUUUAAAUCAUGGCCCCAACAACUAUUGGUUGGUGGUAGUGCAUGUCUAAAAAUUGGGGACAUUGUCCGCUUGAUGGUUGGUGUUAGUGCAAAAGAUGGAAAGUAUGACAUACUUUAGUUACCCACGGCUUUUACAUAAACAACAACAAACAACUUAAGUAGAGUCUUUAGACAGAGACUGAGACUGUUGGAUGGAAAUGUCCCGUGGCUUUCAAAAUAGUCUUUAGACAAAAAAGACUAUGAAACAUUGGAUGGAUGGAUCAAACGACCCACAAGUCCACAACUUACCAAAAAAAAAGUCUUUAGACACAGAAAGUAUGUGAGUGUUGGAUGGAUUAAACGACAAACAAUACAUCAUAAAGACUGAGAAUGUUCGGAUGGAUAAAAUGAGAAAAACAAAGACUAUGAGUUACCCACGGCUUAUAAAGGUUUUAAACAAAGACCUUGACUUCUAUGAAGAGUCUUUAGACAAUAUCUUACCCACGGCUUAUGAAAAGUUUUUAGACAAAGACUUUGACUUGCUUGUUACACACGGCUUAUGAAAAAGUCUUUAGAACAAGUAAGUUAAAACAGCUUUAUGAAGAGUCUUUAGACAAUACUACUGCCCACGGCAUUACAAAGGCUUUUUUAGACAAAGACUCAACUCAACUUGGACAAUACUACUAUUACCCACGGCUUAUAAAAGGUCUUAAAGAUAGAAACUAUGAACCCUUUAGACUUCUAAGUUUAUUGGAUGUGAAAACGACUAAAGGUGGAUGAAAAAAACGACCACCGGUUUACAGAGGUCUCAAGGAAAACCUAUUUUACUUCUUGGAUGAAAAAAAAAACUACAUGCGGCUUAGAAAAUUCUUACACAAAGACUAUAUGUUUGUUUGAGUUGUUGUACGGUGAACACGACCAACAACUUAAAACAGAGACUUUGAACCAAAAUGCAAAAACCAUAUCUGUUCAGUAACCACAAGGCUUCAGAGAAAGACCAAAGGCUUAAAAGACGAAUAAUAUGAAAGAAAAACAGACUCUUUACUUCACCACAAGCCUCAACAAAAGGUAUUUUGACAAAGACUACAUGUCAGUGUUUAGCUUGUUGGAUGGAAAAAAAACGACCAACGGCUUAAACUAAGUAUUAAGACUUGAACUAUGAACCGAAAUUGAGUUGGAAAAAUGACUAACAGCUUGAACCAAGUCUUAUGACAGAGAGUAUGAACUGGAAAAAUUUCUCAAAUACUGUUACCCAAGACUAUGAAUGGAAUAUAAAAAAAUCUUUAUGAGAAUCAAAAACAGAUACCCAGAGCUUUGAAAAGUCUGUAGACAGAGAUUCUUUGGGGACAUUCAUGUCACAACUAUUGGUUGGUAGUGCAUGCCUAAGCAAAGGAUGGAAAGUCUUUAGACAGACUUUGAUUGUACCCACGGCUUAGAGAACUAACAAACGGCUUAAGAAAAGUCUUCAGACAGACUUUGAUUGUACCCACGGCGUGCAAUAAGAUUUUAGACAAAGACUGUCUUGAAAACGUCUGAUGAAGAGUCUUUAGUCCAUAUCUACCCACGGGUAAGGAAAAGUUUCUAUACAGAGACUUUGAGUUUCUUGCUACACAUGGCUUAUGAAUAGUCUUCAGACAAAUAAUGAUUUUAAAACGGCUUACUGAGAGUCUUUAGACAAUAUCUACCCACGGCUUACGAAAAAUCUUUGGUUUUAAGACAAAGACUCAACCUAGACAUACUAUACUACCCACGGCUUUAUGAAGAGUUUUCAGACAAAGACUGUUGAAUCUUAAACAGAUUUAUUGCCACAGCUUAAAAAGUCUUCAGACAAAUACUAAGGGUUAGUUUUGGACUUUGUGGAUAGAAUGGAGAAAACGUCAUAACAAUACCAGUACCCACGGCAUCAAAGAAGUUUAUACACGAAUCCAAUGAAUUGGUUUUGGAGUUGAUAUGAAUCAAAAACAGACUCCUUACAUCACCACAAGCCUUGACUAAGUAUUUAGACAAAGACUAUAUGUCAGUGUUUAGCUUGUUUGAUGGAAAACGACCAACACAGAGUGUAUGAACCACACAUUGAGUUGGUUCUUCUGACUUGUUGCUUGGGAAAACUCACCAAUGACUUAA